GUUCUCGCUUUGACCGCACAUACACUAAACUGGAAUGAUACAGAGAAGAUUAGCAUGGCCCCUGCGCAAGGAUGACACGAAAAUUCAUGAAGCAUUCCAUUGAAAA
ensembl:snRNA U6 U6 spliceosomal RNA